CCAUUGUGAUAUCAUAUGGUCGCAACAGCUUAGCAUCCAAACAUUCCAGGAAAGAACAAUACAAAUGUCAUAAAGAAAAACAGUAUUUGUACAUUGUUUGAUGGCUUAAGUAACCUGAAAGCACUAGAUCCCAUCUGGCCUUCUAAGCUAAGCAGGGUCAGUCCUGAUUAGUAUUUGGAUGGGAGAUCGCCAAUGAAUACCAGGCUUUAUGGGUGUCAGGAAAUCCAUUUCUCAGCACGAAAUGAAUAACAGCAAAUAUUCCUUCCAUCUCUUGUGUUAGAAAACCCGUGCUGUCAUGUAGAAGAGGGGAUUUCUGCAAAUGUGCUUGUCAUGCAAGGAAUAACUACUGAGGUUUCUUUUUUUUUUCUACACAAAUGUUAAAUGAAAAGAAGCUUUAUCCUCCCUUA